rnacentral:rRNA from 1 species
CCUACGGGUGGCAGCAGUGAGGAAUAUUGGUCAAUGGGCUCACGCCUGAACCAGCCAAGUCGCGUGAGGGAAGACUGCCCUACGGGUUGUAAACCUCUUUUGCCGGGGAGCAACUGGCGCCACGUGUGGCGCCACUGAGAGUACCCGAAGAAAAAGCAUCGGCUAACUCCGUGCCAGCAGCCGCGGUAAUACGGAGGAUGCGAGCGUUAUCCGGAUUUAUUGGGUUUAAAGGGUGCGUAGGCGGAACGCUAAGUCAGCGGUAAAAUUGCGGGGCUCAACCUCUCUCCGCCGUUGAAACUGGCGUUCUUGAGUGGAAGAGAAGUAUGCGGAAUGCGUGGUGUAGCGGUGAAAUGCAUAGAUAUCACGCAGAACCCCGAUUGCGAAGGCAGCAUGCCGGCUUCCGACUGACGCUGAAGCACGAAAGCGUGGGGAUCGAACAGGAUUAGAUACCCUAGUAGUC